rnacentral:rRNA from 1 species
GAGUUUGAUCCUGGCUCAGAUUGAACGCUGGCGGCAGGCCUAACACAUGCAAGUCGAGCGGAUGACGGGAGCUUGCUCCUUGAUUCAGCGGCGGACGGGUGAGUAAUGCCUAGGAAUCUGCCUGGUAGUGGGGGACAACGUUUCGAAAGGAACGCUAAUACCGCAUACGUCCUACGGGAGAAAGCAGGGGACCUUCGGGCCUUGCGCUAUCAGAUGAGCCUAGGUCGGAUUAGCUAGUUGGUGGGGUAAUGGCUCACCAAGGCGACGAUCCGUAACUGGUCUGAGAGGGUGAUCAGUCACACUGGAACUGAGACACGGUCCAGACUCCUACGGGAGGCAGCAGUGGGGAAUAUUGGACAAUGGGCGAAAGCCUGAUCCAGCCAUGCCGCGUGUGUGAAGAAGGUCUUCGGAUUGUAAAGCACUUUAAGUUGGGAGGAAGGGCAGUAAGUUAAUACCUUGCUGUUUUGACGUUA